UUCUUUAUUAUUAUUAUUUUUUUAAGAGAUAGAUAGCAUAUUAUCCGCUUCGUUUUAUUUUAUUUAGAAAUAAACUUAGCUGAAAAUAUGAAUCAAUUAAAAUUCGAACUUGAAAUUUUGUAUACCAAUCACCAAAUUCUUUACCACUUGCGUUUUUUUGAGAGAAUAAGUUCUUUACCACUUGUGUUGGGGACGGUCGGUGCCAUCAACAUUGCUUGUUACAUGAAAUUGAUGGUCGCAAACACAAAUGUUCCAUGUAAAUUACCGCAGCUUUUCCGCAUAGGAAACAAAGAGUGGUGUUAAAGCAUUGAUAAGAUAUUCUAUACUAUACAGGAGAUUAGAUCAAUCUAGACAUUUAGAACAAGCAAAUCUAACAAAUAAAAAUCGAGCCUGCGCAUCAGAAUGAGCAAAAACAAUUAUCACAAUUAUGAUCUUCAAUUAAAGAUGAACAACUAGUACUCAAAAUACACUCUUCAUUAUUUGAGCUUUUCCAUGAUUUUACCAUAAAAACCAUCAUGAUAUACCACUGCCUACUCUUCUAUCAUAGCACCAACCACACCUCAUCUCCUGCCACUCUCCUACAAGCUAAAAGAAAAGAAAAGGAGAAAAAAGAAGCAAUGCGUCACCACUCAACAAUACCAUUGGUGAGCCAACAUCACACGUAUUCUCAUCAACAAUCACACUUAAACAUUGCCGAGCCUCGCCUAACAUCACACUUAUUCUCAUCAACAAUCACACUUAAACAUUGCCGAGCCUCGCCUACUAAUGGCGCUUAUUGACGGCAUUGCACCGCUUUCGUAUCUCGCCCUCGUCCCCCGUGAGCGGGUUGUUCUCCGAUAGGAUCGUGAUCGCCCGUGAGAACUCUCGGAAGAAGUAAUUUUGGUUCUUGGCCAUCUUCUUCACGAAUGGUCGGGUCCGCUUGUCGUGGGCUAUGUCGUGAUCCACUUGUAAUAGGCCCUUGUCGUCCAGUAUGUUGCGGUAGUAGUUGUUGUCCAGCUUCAUGGGAGUGCCACGGUCGUUACGGACGUAUUGAACGGCCUUUGGAUCAGGGAUCGCGUCCGGGCACUUCUUUAGCAUGUGCGGGACGUGAUCAGGGUUCAAGGCUGGGUCGACUUCCGGGUAAAGCCGGUGCACCAGCUUCACACAGUGAGUACGGCCAACGCUGUGGGCUCCUGCAACAAUGAACAUAUAGAUUCGACUAACUUGCAAAUGCUAUGAAGUGGUGAAAAAAAAUUGGUGGAACACAUUGAGUGAAAUAGAAAAAGAAGUACUAUCUUAUUUCUCUAUCUGUUAACAUGUUAGACAAUAGAUGAGAACAAAUCUGUAACUUGAAUCAUAUGACUUAAAAGAAGCAGCCUCUCAAUUGAACACUUCCCAACAAAUUCUCCCGACAUCAGAAGCCGAAGCUUCAAAUUAAAGCUGCUUUGCUUUUUACGGCCCAAACUCCAAAAUUUGUUGACAAAAUAUCCGGCAUAAAGAAGCUUCUACUUUAUAAAGUAGCAGAACAAUUUCAGAUGUCAGACCAAACAGGCACCUAAAAUAUCAUGUUCCAUGGAUGUAUGGGUAUGAGGAUAUACCAAGGAGGGCAACAACUCCAGGAGUAUCAAUGCCCAGGGCAUGGAACUUGUCCAUGACAGAGGAGAUGCUCUCAUUGUGGUCAGGGAGGUACUCCUCAAGCAGAUCAGCCCCCCUACUCUUCCUUCCAUCUCUUCUCCCUGUCCUCAGUGGGAUGUAUGGCCCUCCAAGCUACAUACAUCAACACAAAUUUCUACUACAUAACUCAUCACUACAAUACAAGUCAAGAGUACAAUACCAUCUCUAAACACAGAGAGAGAGAGAGAGAGAGAGAGAGAGAGAGAGAGAGUUUCACAUUACCUCAGCAAUGCCAUCCCUGGCAGAGAGGACCAGGAUAUCAGAGCAAGAGACAACACCAGGGCACUCCCUCUCCACAGCCUCCUUAAUGGUCUCAAUAUACCUGAAAUUCCUCAUCCCAAAGCUCCUAUCUGCCUCUUUCUCAGAAAGGCUCCUCCUUGUUGAAUCCAGCAACAAUGAGGCAUCACAUGACUGCAUCAUAACAAAAAAUCCCCCCAAAAUUACGAAAAAAAAACCCAUUUGAGUAUUCCACCCAAAAUCUCUCCUUUUUGAGCCAAAAAAGAAAAGAAAAAAGAAAAAGAAAAGAGGACCCAAGUUUGAAAUUUUUAGUAAAUUUUGGACCUGAACAGCACAAUCAUGGAAGAUGUUCCUGAGCCAAGAGAAAGCAGUGUUCUUGUGGCGCUUGUAGAGAAGCUUCACCUGCUGGCUUAUGAUCUCCUCUGCUUGUGGGCAUGACUCCUUGUAGAAGUUCAACACAAGCCCAGUGCUCUUAACACCCACCUCAUCCCCCCCUCCAAUGGCUAAUGGUGUUAGAGAGACAAGGGCUAAGAAGAAGAAGAAGAGGAACAAAGAGAGAAAUGGAGAAGAACCCAUCUCACUUUGAUGUGUUAUGCAUCACUCUUGCCUUAUGGGGUUGCUUAAAUAAAGAUAAGAAGGAUGGGAAAAGGAGAGUUUUUUUUUUUGUUUUUGUUGGUAAAAAAGAGGAAUGUAAUAUAUAUGAGUAGAAAAGGAGGAGGGAACAGUUACAUUGAUCUUGUGGGCUCAGGGAACAAGUGUCAGUGGUAGGUUUCAUGCUUCACCCUCAAGCAUUCAUUGCUGAAACUUGUGAUCCUAUCCAUUUGGUGCUCUACUACACUAGUUUAGUUUAGCUCUUCUAUACAUAUUAUAAUAAACAGAAUCAGAUAAUUUCUUUUUCCUCUUUUGGGUCAAAAAAUCAGAACCCAUGUCUUAAAAUGGGCACAGAAAUUGCCCUCCUAGGAAUGAUCAAUAAGAUCAAGUAUGAUAAAGGUUUUUCCUUGUGAGCCUACCUGUGUGAAUGGGGUCUCUUUCUAAUAAGAGGAAAAGGAAAUUGUAUUAUUCUAGUAAAUACUACCUUCCUUUCUUAGGAUACUAAUGAUUUCCACCAAAAAAACAUGAGGAAUCACAAGAGCAUUCUGAGGAAUUGAACUCCAAAUAUGUAUGCAGGGGUCAGAAGAGUGUGAAAAUUGUUAUGUAAUGUCUUCUCCCAAUAAUCAAUUAGUGUUUACACAAUAUGUAAGAAUUAUUAUUAACAGAGCAGGAGUUCAAAAAGAUUAUGAUUAAGUAUCAUAACUUGGUAAAAGGAAAAUAUGCACCAUAAUGCUCUGUUGCACUUAAUAGUGGUAUCUGAUUUAGUGCCUGAAUUAUAUUACUAACUAAAGUAAGGCAGGCAUAAAGGUAAACUUGAACCACAACAGACUCUCAGUACUGGUGGUCACUGAUGUACUAUUAUUUUUGCUGCACUAUAGCAAGGUAGUGACUAGCAAUAAUCAAAGUGGCAACAGAAUUAUUAUAGGAAGCACAAAGAAGCACUUUUGCUGCCCACUAUAAUUGAUACCUAACAGAGGGAAUGAGGUACACCACUUUUUGGGUUAAAUAUACUAUAGGUCCUCAACAUAUUCAAGACAGUUUCAGUUUAGUUGUUCUUUUGGCUGUUUAUAGUUGGCUUCUAACAUUUACAUUAAGUUACCGACUGUUCCUAGAGCAAGUGGCAAAGGGCUUGGUGAUUGGUACCCGAGACCCAAGUUCGAAUCCUAGUUGAUUCACAUUUCUAGCUAAGUUUAUUUCUAAAUGAAAUAAACGAAGCGGGUAGCGUGCUACCUAUCUCUCUCAAAAAAAAAAAAACAUUUACAUUAAGUUACAAUCUUGUCAAAUUCUCCGACAAAACAUAGAGAAAUAUGUCAAAAAAAAAAAAACUGUUUCUUUGCCCCUCCGAAAAAGUGGCCAGUCAUUUGAACAAAAAGAUUCUGAACAAACUUCUUCUGGUUUCGAUCAGGAAGUGGGAGGAAUCGAAGCGAAUUCGUUCGACCAUUUCCACCCUAGCACAAAGCUGAUCUUUGAUGAUUUGUCCCUUGUAAAAGUUCUAAAAGAUAAAUGACAGGUUUUGUUAAACAAUGUGGACACUGCUAUGAAAUAAUCUUUUUGAGAUCAUCAGAUCACAUUAUAGUGUUGCAUCUUUCAGCAUGCAGCAUCUUUGUACAAGUGACUGGUACUUUAUAGUCCAUAUGAUCACAUAUGCAUGCAUACAAAUAUCCAUGGAGAAUCUGUCAUGCUUAGCAAUAAUGCUGUACUGUAAUUUAUUCAAAAAUAAACUUAUUGUUUACUCUUCCCAAUCUAAUGGGAAGAGUGUUGCCCACUUGUCCCCCUGAUCAAAGUUUUUUAUUCUUGCUUCUUCCUUUUUUUCCCCUCCUUGUUGCUUUUCUCAAUGGAGAAGUCCAAUAGAUGUAGUGUAACAAGAUAAUUGUGUUCACAUGUGCAAGUUUACUCCCCCGCAAAACAAUGAUCUAAUAGAAAACCAAAUCCUUUAUUGUCUAGAACAAAUGCAUUUCUCUGAAACUCCGCUCGAGGCAAAAAAAAAUUUCCUAUUUAUUUACAUGGCUUUGAUUUUCUCAACAGUAUACUGGUAAGUGAUAACAAGACUUUCAAAGAAGCACUUUCAAGACUGAUACAAAAACUGCACAUUCUCUCUUUUUAUAAAAAAAAGGUCUCUAUUUUGGGGGGAGAAAACAACUCUUUCCAAACCCUUAUACCACCAUUGUUCCAAUGACAUUCAAGCUUCGAUUAAUCAAUCUGGAAUAAGAAUAUAAAGUCUUGUCUACGAGAAGACAUCCACAAUCCAGAGUAAUUAUCAAUUAUCACCGAACCUUGAUCCAAAUUUUUGCCAAAAGACCUCGAAUUAUAGACAAAACAAAAUGCAAUUAAUGACUAUCAGAUUAGCUCUUCCAUUAAUUUCCCUAAUCCAUCCAACAACAAAUGGAGCUCCACUGAAAGCGGAUGUGAUCUAUCCUUGACCAUAAACUCAUGAACACAACCAUUAACUCCGAUCCAACUCUGACCGGGUGGCUUACUUGCGUCCCUUCUUGCUCUUUCCCUGACAGCAGUAACUUCAUGCCACUGACUCUGGUCUGCGUAAAUAUUAGAUAAGAGCACAUUAGCCCCUCCUUUGUGCCGGCAAAUUGAUUCAAUUUUCUUCACAACAAGUUCACCAAUCUCCAAAUUCUUAUGAACCCUGCAUGCACUCAACAAAGCCCCCAGAAUCGUCAAAUUGGGCUCGAAAGGCAUGUUGGCAAUGAACUCGUAAGCAUGAGAAAGAAGCCCGGCUCUACUAAAAAGAUCCACCAUGCAUCCGUAAUGCUUGAUUUCGGGAGUAACAUUAUAUACUUUCUCCAUUGAGCCAAAAAUAGUAAUCGCUUCAUCGACCAAUCCAGCAUGGCUGCAAGCAGAAAGAACUGCAAUAAAGGUAGUUGAAUCAGAUGAAGUUCCCGCCUUUAUCAUGUUCGAAAACAAUUUGAGCGCCUCGUUACCGAAUCCAUGAGAAGCUAAGCCUGAAAUCAUGGCCGUCCACGAAAGCAAAUCUCUCUCAUUCAUUUUAUUAAACACUUGGGUAGCCAAAAUGAUGCCUCCGCACUUUGCAUACAAGUCGAUCAAUGAGUUCCUAACAAAAACAUUUCUUUCGACUCCGACCUUCUCUGCAUACGCAUGUAAGCACUUGGCAUGUUCAAGGGAGCCCAAAUUAGCACACGCCGACAUAGUCGAGACCAUAGUGGCCACAUUAGGAUCAACACUAGGAUCACUACCUCUCAUCUCAAUAAACACUUCCAAAGCAUUCCGAUAAAGACCGUUGCUACAAAGACCCGAGAUCAUUGCGGUCCAAACGACAACAUCUCUAACGGACAUUUCAUUAAACACCCUUCGCGCAUCGUGCAAAGACCCACACAAGAAGUACAUGUUCAUAAGCUCGGUUUGGACAAAUGGGUCAAUAUCGAAACCGAGGACAAGGAGAUGGGUAUGAGCCGAUUUGCACAAAUGGAGAUCGAGGGGACAACGACAUGCUUUGAGAAGGAAAGGGAAGGUGUACUUAUCUGGGCGAGCGCCUCUUUGGAGCAUUUCGUCAUACACCUCGAAUGCGGCCCCUGGGUGGUGCUCAGGGGACUCGGCGAGGGCCCUGAUGAUGGUGUUGUAGGAGAAAAGGUUGGGUUUUGGGAUAUGGGUAAAGAGAAGGCGGGAGAAGGAGAGGUCGGAGGCGGAGGAAGCGAGGAGGAGGAUGCGACUGGAGACGAAGGGGUUGCGGAAGAGACCAGAGACGAGGGCGUAGGCGAGGAGGGGGAGGAGGCGGCGGAGGGAGAGUGGGGAGGAGGAGGCGAGGGGGAGGAGGCGAGGGUGGCGUAGGAAGGUGAGGUUGGAGGAGGUCCAUGACCAUGGAGGAGCUUGGGGAUCGCCAUUAAUGGAGGAGAGGUGAAGCUUCAUCGCGGUGAAAGAGGUUACGAGACCCCUCAACUAUAGGAAAUUUUCAAACAAGCCCUUUAACUAUUUUUGGUACUAUUACGCUUAACCCCCUUAGCUAUACAUAUUUUUAUUUACAUCCAAAACCGGGUUAGGUCGGUUCGGCUUAAUAGGAUCGUACGAUGAACCGGCCUAGUACUAUUCAACCGGUCUCUGUUUUAGGCCGGAAAAUUCUUGUUACAUGCACCUGGUGCACCAUAAACCAAAAUCCUAAGUGCAAAUUAUUGUGCGAACCUGGUGUAUAAUUUUAUCUCACACACCGCAGAGUCAAAAUUAAAAUCAUUAGAUAUUUAUGUCCAAUGAUAUCAAAAUUUUCUAAUAGGUGACAAAUUACAAUUUUCCAACAUUUUAAUUAUUUAUUAUUAAAUAUAAACUUUGGUGUAUUAGUUAUAGAAUACGCCAGGUCCAGGGAACACUUUCUCGUAGGGGAAUUAACACUUUCUCCCUCUAUAUAUAUAUAUAUAUUUCUCCUGUGCGCGAAAAAGCUUGUUUUUUUAAUUUUCCCCAAUUUUUUUCUUCUCUUUUUUUUUUGUUUUUUUGUUUUUUUUUUUUGGCGAACUCUCCUCAUCAUCGAUGGAAAAGGGGAAAUCGUUGGCGAACACCGAAUUAGCAUCGUCGCUCAAAAAUCUGCACCUCGCGCCGCGCCCGAAAUUUACUCCUUCGAAUUCGUUGUCCCGAUCCCUCGGUGAGCACGAUAGUGUUCUCUUCGAUUUCCUCCGAUUUUACUGUGUUUUUUUUUUUCUUUCUAUGAUUAGUGUCGCCCUGCAUGUUUCCCCUCAUGUUUGAUGCUCUUUUCUAGGGUUUGAUGCGUCGAAUUUGUGGUAAAGAUCUCAACUUGUUUGGUGUUAAGAGUUGUGCGAUCUAAUAUGUUGAAUUGGGAUUAUGUAUCUUGUACAAUUUGUUUAAUUUAUUAGAUUUAGAGCUUUGUACGUUAGGGUUUUGUAGGGCUUUGAUCAACUUUCGUGCUUAGAAUUUGUGUAGCUUUUAAUUGCUGAGGAUAUCACAUACGUCGAUUAAUUAAGUUUCAUUCAGUUGCUUAUAAAGGUGAGGUUUUUUCGCUUCUUAUAGUUAUAGUAGUACGAAACUAGUUUUAUAUUCGAAUUGUGCCUUAAUAUUCUUCAAACUGCUGUUAUUUCUACUGGGUUGGUUUUGAUCGGAAUCGGAUGCUACUCAUACUGAUCCUAGAGCUAGUAUAUCUCAAUUGUAGGCUAAAUAUUUUGUUCUUUGAUAAGAUGUUCUUAGCCGUCGUAUGCUUUGCUUAUACUAGCUUGUUGAAAUGAUCAGCUACUUCAGCUUUACCUGUAAAGAGUUCCAAGCCUAGAAAGUUAGUCAGUUUGUGCCUCGGGUUUCUUGGGGAACAUUUCGAGGAUAUCAUCACCGAUAUUUCGGAGGUUGCUGCUGGAUUUCCUCCUGAUAUCAAGGUAUAUAACUGCUUUGCAUUUAAUCUUUCUGUUUAGUGGUAUUAAUUGUAAUUUGUGGACGUAUUGGGUGUUGUGGGGAGUCCCCAUCUUUUUCUGAAUGGUUUUUCCGGCACCAGGGGUUGCACUAGUCUUGUAUUUUCAGCUAUUACUUUAUGUUGGAUAUGUCGUUCAGUGCUAUGGAGUGGCAUGAAAUGAAAAGCAUUAAGUUUCAGGUAAAAACUAAACUGUUUUGGCUGAAACAUGUCGCAGUACAUUUUUGUCAAAAAAUGCCAGAGAUGGCUGUAUCAACAGUUUUUGGCUGUUUUGGUAGUCUAGUUUUAGCUAUCGCUUACUUUUAGCAGAUCAUACAACCGGAUUUUAAUUAAAUUCAUCGUGCUUGGGUCUAAGUACGUUUUACAGACUUAAAUGUAUUAACUCUUCAUACUCGUCUAGAGUUUUGGAUUCAUACUGCGUCUUAAUGUGGUCUGAAAUGAUUUGUGGAGAGUUGUUUGUUUAAGGGUUUUAUAUUAUUCGUACAUACUGAACUUAACUAUGAGCUUUCAAUUCGUUUGCAGUUGGCAAUGGCAGCUAUAGCAAGGAGGAGAAGAUUAUUAAGUGAUGAUGUCCUUAUAUCGCUUGCUGAAAGCUCGUGGGAGCUUCUAGAUAUCUCUGGCUCUGAUGUCACCGACUCCGGCUUGUCAACUGUAGCAAAGAUUUGUACUAAUUUGCGUGCUGUUGAUAUUAGGUAAGAUUUGGCAUAAUAUGUACUUAUUAAAACAUCCUUAUGUUGAUGGAAUUUACUUUGAUUUGUUUAGUAGGCAUUCCUGUUGUUAUAGCUAUUGAUAGUUUUAAGUGAUGUACUGAUAAUGUAUAAUCAAAAUGCUAGUGGCACAUGAUAGAAAGAUUAUUUUACCUCCUAUUUGAAUUUUAUCUAAGGUUAGCGCUUUGGUUUGAGUGUACAACCGGUAACUUAUGAAUUUUUUUUUGAGAAUUUUAAUGUGUAGGAAGAUUCAGAUAAAGUAGUUUCAUCCCAACGUGAAUUGUGCGGAUAUCUUUGAUUUUCUCCUUUUAAUUCUGGAUAAACUCUAACAUACAUUUUCACUUGGCAAAUAGUGAAGCCAACCGUCUUGAUUUGCAUCUGCUCCAAAUUCAAAUAAUGUGUUGUUCUUUGGUGCAGCCGGUGUGAAAAGGUUACUGUUGCUGGUGUUUCUGAGCUUAUAUCUCAUUGUCGGUCUCUGGAGAUAUUGAGAUGCGGGUAUGCUUUCUCAAGAUUUUGCCCUUCGGUGUCUGAUGUUUGUUUUCUUGAAUUUGGAUACAUUCUCAAAUUUCACUUUUCUAAUGUUUGAAUUUCACGUAAGUUAUUAAAACCAGCCUUACAUUCCAAAUUACGAACAGCUGGCGUCUGCCAUAAUAUUAGUUUUGUAUCUACAAUUCGUAGACUUCUCUCCUUACAACCUGUGUAUUUCAAAUACGUUACCCUUCCGCCAUAAUAUUAGAGUUUUCAGGUCUUUACUUGUAUAUUGAGAUUUACGCCAGGAUGAUUUCUAUUACAUUUUGAGUUGAAGCGGUAAUUUUUUCUCGACACCCAUGAUACUACUGUGAAAACACGUAAACAGUUUUUAAAAUUUCGACUUGCUCGGUAGCUUUCAGUUUUAACUGUUCAUUAAAUUUACAUAACAGGAUAUGAACAGAGGUUAAAUGCGGUGAUUGCAGAGGGUGUCCGAGGAGCAAUUCUACUGCACGCAGAUGCUUGUGUAUCUUGAAGCCCAAACUGAACGUAGUGGAAGAAGAAUCGUGGGAGGAGCUGGACAAAGUGGACAUCGGGAACGGUGCACAGUCGCUAAGGUGGCUUGUAUGGGUAUGCAUUUGCUUCUUCAUAGGAUUUACAAUGCCUCCCUUUUCUUUGCCGCUCUUUAACUAUAAGAGAGAACUUGAAUGUCCUUUAUUAGUAAACUUCAUCCUUUUUCCUUUUUUGUAGCCUAAGAUUGAUGAGGACUCGAAGGUAACUUUGGCUAAGGAAUGCCCUCGGAUCAUCGUGAACCCACAACCCUCUCCGAUUGGCUUUCGAGGGGUACAAGUACCUGCCAUGGCAUUACCGGAUGUAGCUUUGGACCAUUCCGCAGUCGAGGACAUCGAUCCCAAAACAUGGGCUGUUUCUGCCGUUCCGAGGAGGAGCAGCCCCACACCCUCUUCCUCGGACGACGCCCCUGAAAUGCACAUCGCUGAGAGGUUCAGGCUCGCGUUCUUGGAGAGGGAGGCAAGGCUGGCUCCAAAGAGGGCCAAGAAAGCGAGGCAGCAGAAGAGGCGCGCGGAGAGGGAGUAUAUGAUGACGAGCAUCGAUGCUAAAUCCAUCGCCCUCGCCGCAGAGGCUAGCAAGUUCUUGCAUAAGAGAUAAUUCAGUUGGCCACAUUUUACAUCUUAAAUUCGUGUUUGUAGACAGUUAUAUAAUAUUAUACCGAGUUAAAUUCCGCCUCUCGUCGGCUUUUGUAACUCAGCGAGCGUGUACCAUAAUCAACUAGAUUUUGUUCAUUUUAUUUCUCAGAAACUCUGUUUUUGACGCUCUACUGUUUUUUUGUUUUUCUUUUGAUCCGUAUGUAUAGAAUGAAUUAAUCACAUUUGGAUUUCCCUCUCCUCUUUUUUACGUGUGUAUAGAAUCUUAAUUCUCGAAAACAGCAUUUUUAAUUUUUUCCAGUCUAGUAAACUCUUUUACUGGUAAGAUCACUUGAAGAGAAAUAUCUCGCAAAGUAACUAGUGAAAUUAAAUUCGAAGACAAGUGGAGAGAUCGUGCAAUACAUUAGACACCAAAUUGAUCUCACAACUUUGCCCUUUUUUUACAUAAAUACUGCAUCACCUUUUCUCAUCGAACAAAAAAUAAAAAUAAAAAUAAAAAUAAACACAACCCACUAGUCUCAGUGGGUAUAUCAUUCAAAGUGUGGAGAAUAAUGUUCUCUCUCCUUCCAGCUAAAUUUACUUGAACUUUUAUUUCUUCUAAAUAAAAAACCUAUAUUAUCAGAGAAAGCUCUUUUAGUCCGUGCGCUAGCCGAGUGUUGAUAAUUUUUCGCCUUUCAACUUUUUUGCUUUAUUUUUGAGAAUUGAUCAAAUUUCGGAUGACGAACGGAAGGAUGCCUCCGUUGUUGAAAUAAGCCAACUCCACCUGCAACAGUUACAGUCAAGAAUCAAAAUCAUUGUAAAGAACUAAAAUUAAUCCGAAUGCUAUUUACUACACAUCUGAGUUAUCAAAAUCCACUAUUAAACUACACAAGGUGCCAACAAGAUUGUGUACUCAAUUGUUGAAUACAGCAUCAUUACCUCUGUAUCGAACCGGACUGUACAUGUGAAGGACUUUCCGGUGUCUGUCACGACAGUAAUGUCCUGUCCAGGUCGUAUUUCACUUAUAUUACUUGGGAGGUCGAUCGUGUACCGCUCGUGCCCGGUGAGACCAAGAGAGUCGGCGUCCUCGCCGGGUUUGAAGCAGAGGGGGAUUAUACCCAUCCCCACUAAGUUGCUUCGGUGAAUUCUCUCGAAGCUUUUAGCUAUCACUGCUUUGACCCCCUGUUUUGUUGAGAACAAUAUCAUGAGUAACUUAUGGUAAAACUAAUGUAUCAACAAAGCUAUAACGAAACUGAUGAGCCGUAAUAUGAUACUCACAAGUAGCAUUGGGCCCUUCGCAGCCCAGUCUCGAGAGCUACCACUUCCGUACUCUGCCCCGGCCAGAACUAUGGUGUCAUGACCAUUCGCCUUGUAUCUCUGCAAAGAAAUCAAAAGAAAAUAAAAGAUAGAGUCUCGACAAAAAAAUAAUAAUAAUCAUAAUAAAGGUUUCGAGUCCUGGUUUCAGGGUACAAUUACCAUUGCGGCAUCAAACACGUAGAGCGUAUCCCCUGUUGGAAUGUGAAUAGUCUUCGGCCCAACCUCUCCUUUUAAGAGCUUGUUCACAAGCCGAAUAUUUGCAAAUGUUCCCCUCGCCAUUACUUCGUCGUUUCCACGACGGCUGCCGUACGAAUUGAAGUCCUUGCGAUCGACGCCACGCUCGAGCAGGUACUUUGCAGCAGGGCUGUCCUUGUGAAUGCUUCCGGCUGGCGAAAUGUGAUCGGUCGUGAUGCUGUCGCCAAAGUUCAAUAAGCAGUAGGCGUCUUUCACCCCGUGGGGACCUGGAGGGGCCAUGGUCAUGUUUUUGAAGUAGGGGGGUUCGUGAAUGUAGGUCGAGUUCGGGUCCCACGAAUACAGGGUUGUGGCUGGGACAGUCAGGUGGUUCCACAUUGGGUUGCCUUUUGUAAUCGCCUCGUAAGUGCUCUUGAACAUAUCAGGCAGCACACUAGAUUGGACAACCUAAAAAAGUAGCGUCUUGUUAGAGAAAACUUAUUACAUCCUAAAUAUAAAGAAAGCGGAUAUACUGAAUAUCGCAUUUCAAUUCUGUAGAUUUUCAUGUCUAACAGCACAAUAACGUGUUCUACGAGUGUAAGUUGAAUGCAUUAAGUGAAAAAAACAUGGCACAUGACUAAUAUAAUCAGGCAGUAAUUCAUGUACUGUAUAUACGUAACAUAAAUUAGACAAGAUGGCAAGAGCAGAAUAAAGAGAGUUACUAUCAAAAAAUUGAGAGUUCCAUGGCCGAAGUAAGGUGAGGGAAAAUACUCUAUAUUCCUAGAGAAUAUGUCUAUCUUAUUUUAGCCAAUUAUAACUUGAAAGGAAAGCAUCUGCUUUAUUAUUUGUAGUAUCUACCUCUGCGACUUCUUCAUUAGAAGGCCAUAUUUCCUUAAAGUAGACCUCCUUGCCAUCCUUCCCAACUCCAAUUGGUUCCUUCUCAAAAUCAAUGUUAACCUGAAGAAAGAAAGAACUUCAGUAUCAUUAAAAUGAAACUGCAGUAAUCUACAGGGAAAGAAAAUAUAUUUCCACAAUUUUGCUUGUUUCCCUUAAAUAAUCAGCAGGAAAAUGUGCACAAAACUAGCAAUUUUCACUUACUGUGCCAGCAAGUGCAUAUGCUACAACAAGGGGUGGGGAAGCAAGAUAGUUAGCUCGAGUCAGAGGAUGCACUCGACCCUCAAAAUUUCGAUUUCCAGAGAGAACAGCAGCAGCAACAAUAUCUAUUAACAACAGCAGCAAGGCAGAAAAAGUAGCGCAAUUAAUAGUUGUAUCAAAGAAGUAAAAAGAUAGAUGGGAAAUGCAGCAAACUGACUGAAUCUUGAUGUUACCGUUGUCUGAAAUUGCAGCACCAACAGCCUCGUCAAGAUCCCCAGAAUUACCAAUACAUGUAGUGCAACCAUAUCCAACAAUAUGGAAGCCUUGCUUAUUCAGAUAUUCUUGAAGCCCACUGAAGAUUUAAAAAUGACAACAAGAAACAGGAUCCAUCACUCGUUGAUAUAUGUAAAUUUCUCAAAAUCCUGUUCAGUCUCUUAAAUGCAUCCAGCAAGAACAAUCAUACCUUUUAAGCAGAUACUUAGUAACAACUCCUGAACCUGGCGCAAGGCUUGUUUUGAUCCAUGGCUUGACCUGAAAGAAGCAAUUCAUAGUUAUUCCAAAGCAGGGAAGAGCAAGCCAAAAGACAAUAAACUUUUGAAUUAAGUAAAGACAAUGAAAACACAAGGUUAGAAACUUAGAAUACUGAUGUUUGCUGAAAACAAUGAAAAAGAAAAACCACCUGAAGACCUAAUUCACAGGCUUUCUUUGCGACAAGAGCAGCACCGAGCAUUACACUGGGAUUUGAUGUAUUGGUGCAGCUAGUUAUUGCUGCUAUGACAACACUACCAUGCUUGAGUUCAGCAGGUUGUCCACGAAAAUUAAACUUCACAACUUUCUCUUGAGAUUCUUUUGGCACUGCAAAACCCUAGGAGAGAAUACAAAAUAACUCAGUAUGAAUGCAACAAACUAAAUUGUUGACUCUCUCCAGACACAUGCGCUAUGGUACUUUUAGCAAGAAUUGUUGCACUAGGAGAAUCACUGGGAAUAUACUUCACUAAUUCGUUAAUCAAGCAUUUGGAAUCUUACUUUGAAUCCAACUUUAUUAUCCAAACAAGCAUGCCAGUCUGCUUUCAUUUCUUUCAAAGGAACACGGUCGUGAGGCCUACAUGAUACGAACAAGCUUCAGACAAGGAGAACAGAAGAAAUUUCUAACAAAUGACAAGUGGUAGAAUGUGAACAGCAAAAGGAAAACUAGGAACUACUUUUGGUUGCAGGGUGUUUAACGGGAAAGAAUAUGGCAAUUACCUUUUCGGACCUGAAAUACAGGGCUCGACAUCUGCAAGGUCCAAUUCUAGAUAAGACGAGUAUGCUCCCUCAGUUUGAGGCUGAACACCAAAUAGAAAAGCAUGUCAUGAACGGAUAACAAGUUCGAUGACAAUAAGGAUAGAGGGCAAAAAAAGAACUGUACCUCAUUGUAGUCCACAAACAUCUUGUUUGCUCGUAAAUAGGCCUCUAUCAUUGAGACCUAGAAGUAAAUGUGGAGGAAUUAGUUGCAGUAAGAUGGGCUAAAAGACCAGCAAUAAUAGAGAAAACCUAGGAAAAGAAGAUUUAAGGUUUACAUGUAAUUGAACUUCUAGAACAUCAAUUCAUCCAAAGAAACUUGGAAGUUCACACAAGAGAAUUUGCAUAUUUUAUUUAUUGCAAUUUUCUUGUAGGUUAAAUGCAUAAUAUAUCUUCAAAAUAAAAAUGCAUUCUACAUUUUUCAGAGUAAUCAUCCUCUGUUAGUUGAAAAUUUCCCAGCUGAUAAAAAAAGAAAAAGAAAACAAUAGAUAAUGCCGAUAAAUGGUGUCCUUUGUCGAAAGAAGUGUUAACUCACAGUUUCAUCACUUCGUCCUGUCAACUUGAGAUAUUGCAAUGUCACGUGAUCCACAGGGAAGAAGCCCAUAGUUGCUCCAUAUUCAGGAGACAUAUUAGCAAUUGUUGCUCUGUCAGCUAAAGACAGCUCACCCAUACCUUCACCUGUACAACAUUAUGAAAGUUUUUAAGUAACAAAGAAGCAAAAGAAGGUUUGCUUAUUGUCCUCUGCGUAUCUUGAAUAAGAAUGAAUUACCAUAGAACUCAACAAACUUGCCAACAACACCGUGCUUCCUCAACAUUUGAGUCACGGUUAAAACUAGAUCAGUUGCUGUGACACCAUUUCGUAAUUUCCCGGACAAUUUGAACCCCACUACACCAGGCAACACCAUGCUCAUAGGCUGGCCAAUUACAAAGUCAACAAUUAGCAAACCAAAAACACAAAACAGUGUAUUCCAUUUCUUCCAAAAGCUAUUGCAUAUAUUCUUGACUAAUAUUAAAAGGUUAGAAGAAAAGUAAAGACAGAAGUCAACCACCAACUAUGGAACUCCAUGCAAAUUAGCUACAAAGUAGGAUUGCAACUUCCAGAAAAAAUGGGAUGCAUUAAAUGUUAAACGCUUAAGCUUCAUAAGUAUCGAACAAAGAUAUUCCAUGUUGUCGAAGAACAUAAAAGAAAGAAAUGGAUGGUAACGAAUAGUUAAGGUCAUUCCUCUUUCAAACAUGCAAUGCAACAAAAGAAAAAUAAAAAAAAAAAAACAAGGAAAAAUUGUACAAGGGAAUUUUGAGUUUUAUACAAUGGAUAAUGCAUGGAGAAUAAUAGUCAUUUGGCUUAUUAAUACUUAAUCUUUCUAGUCUUAAAAGUUGAAACUAUUUCAACACAUCAAGAUAUAGUUGUUCGCUUCGCACACUAUCGAAGAUCGAAAAAUAUCUUCAUUUUCAAUUAAUUGGCAUUACUCUUGAGUCUUGACAAGCAAAGCAAAAUUAUGGGAUCGACAGAUUGCAGUUAAGUACAAAUACUGCCAAUUCUUAAUUUUUGUUAGCUUGCUAAUAACUUCAAUUUCCAAAGUUCUCUAUCUGCCAAAAAAGUUAUUGAAAAUUGAGAUGCAAUGACAUGAAGAAACAGCUUAAAUGCUGAUUUUCCUUUUUAUCUAACCUCAAAUUACAACAUAACUAGUGUAUCUAGAGAAUCUUUAUACAGAUAAAAAGGAAGAGUAGUUUCAAAGUAUACUAGUAGCCAAGCUAAUGUGGAAAGUACUAUCAACUGAAUGUCACUUUCCAGAAUAACGGCCUAUCAAGUCAUCAGUUCUUUAGAUGAAAUGGACGAUAAAAUAUCCCAGAACUAUUUACCUGACCAAGCAUUGCAGCCUCUGCUUCAAUACCUCCAACUCCCCAGCCGGCAACUCCUAAUCCGUCAAUCAUAGUAGUGUGGGAAUCAGUUCCAACCACACUAUCAGGAUAUAGAAUGCCAUCACUGUUGAAAACAACUCGACCAAGAUAUUCCAGAUUAACCUGAAAUUGUAUUUCAAAAUACAGCUAGAGUCAAAUAAAUCCUCAAAAACAGAGGGAUGUCCCUAUAAAAACAAAGGGAUGAAUCAGUUUUGAAAUUUACCAGGACAAAUGUAUUAAUGUCAGCUUUAGAGGAUAAAUAUGGAAAUGCUCUUUUCAUGGAAAAAUAAUAUAUGUUGUUUUACCAAUUAAAAAAAAAAAACAGAAGCAGUGGAAAAUUCGAAGGCCUCUUACCUGGUGAACUAUACCAGAACCUGGAGGAACAACUAGCAUAUUACGGAAAGCAGUAGAUCCCCAUUUAAGGAAACCAAAUCUUUCUUUGUUCCUUUGGAAUUCAAGUUCCAUGUUUGCUUGCACUGCAUUCUCUGAUCUUGCUACAUCUACCUGCACUGAGUGGUCAAUAACAAGAUCUACAGGAACCUGCACUCAAGAGAAAAAAAGAGGGCAUAGUAUUUGUAAGCAAACACUCGUAACAGUAGAAAAUGAAGACGAUAUGUUUCUAAACUACCUUGACUGCUUAGCAUAAACAUAAAGACGGUAAAACUAACAGAAUAGUCAUUACGAAAUGCAUUAACAGUUCCACUUUGAAUUAGCAUACAUCAACAUAUUUGGACAAAGGAAGAGAAACUGGAAGUUCUUAAUAGUUAAUAUUAGUCAGAAUGUCAACUAGUCUAUGGGUCAAACUGACAGGAUAAACUUAUAUUCUUUUGUAUACAUUGAUUGCUAAAUAAUGAGCACCAACCAAGAAACCACAAAAAUUUAAAGCAUGGAAUAAAUAAGAUUAAACAAUGGAGAUGGGGGCGCACCAAAGGGUUGAUUUUAUUCGAAUCACUGCCAAGCUUAUUCAUGGCAUCACGCAUGCAAGCAAGGUCAACUACAGCCGGCACACCAGUAAAAUCCUGGACAGAGGAGUUAAACUAGUUAAUUGAAUGCUACAAAAGAUGAACAAGAUUAUGCAAUAUUGACCCUUCUCGAACAAACCUGCAGAAGAACCCGAGCAGGCUUAAAGGGGAUCUCAACUAGCUUGGGAGAAGUAUUCUCCCAAUCAAUUAUCUUCUCAACAUCAUUCUUAGUAACCUGGAAAUUAUCGCAAUUACGGAUUGCUGACUCAAGAAGAAUCCUGAUAGAGUAUGGAAGUCUACCUGUUACAGAUAACAUGAGAACUUCUCUCCAUUAGAUAAUGACAAGGAUACUGGAAAAAUAUCCAGAGUAACAGGAUGAAAGAUUAGAAGUCAAUGCAAUUUCCCCAUUAGUCAGACAUUAAUCCAUUAAACAUAGGAGAACAAAAGACUACAGGUAAGCUGAAAAAGAGCACAAACUUGACAAGAGCACUACGGCAGAUAUUAUAUAACAAAUUAGAACAGAUCCAAGACAAAAGACAAUUAAACAAAUGUAUUACCGAUCCUCGGAUCAUUCAGUGCAGGUAAACUGUAGAAUUUUCCAUAUUCACCGCCUCCAGGCCUAGGAAGGGAGGUUAAGAUGUCCUUGAACGCAUUCUCUGUAGCUGCAUGACAAUUAUAGCAGCAAAGACUUUAGAAUCGAGAAACAAUCAAAAUAUAAAUACUAGUGCAUUAUAAGACAUUAUCAGCUAAACAGCUAUGAAAAGCUUCCAGAAAAAUAGCUAUGCUGUCACAAUGACAUAUUAGAAAGAAAAAAAACAAACAAACAAAGGAACAUCGCGCAAAGAAAGCAUCAGUCUACAUGAGUUUCAGGGAUGUUCUUUUUUCCGAUAAGCAUCGUAACAUUGCUACCAUACUUCUAUACAUUCUUAUACAGAAUUCCUCUAUCCUUCUGCUACACAAUUCACACUUCUUAUACAGAAUUCCUCUAUCAUUUCAAAUCAAAAGCUUAUUUUGAUUCCUCAUACUUCCGCUCAACUUAUCAGAGCUCACAUCUAAUGAUCCAAUCUUAGGAUGCAUUUGGUUUUAUGAAUAGUAGAGUACACAUAUAGUCUACAAUAAAUUUACGAGCUCUCUUUAUUGCGAAUUGAUCAAGUAGGUAUAUAAUUUUGGUUGCUACGUACUACUAAACGCUCAAAUCAGUACGGAUCAUCCUAACAUCAAAUUUUCAGGAAUCAUAUCACAACCGAUCAAAUCAAGCAGAAACAGCUGAGAUUCAUACCAACGGUCGACAUCUUCCUCUCGAAGCGCUCGAUCACAGCGGCGGAGCUCCUGAUCCACGGCCUGAGGCUCACCGGCGACCUCCAAUCGGAUCCGUACCGCCACGAAGCCGGCGAGGAGCCGAUCACCGGCGAUCGCGGUACGGCGCUACACGACCUCGAGAAUCCGAUCGACCUCGACGCAGCGAUCGAAGACGGAGGAGGACGAGAAGGAGGCGGUGCGGGCUUAACGGCGCGGAGGAGGGAGGCGAAGGAGGCGGCUUUAUACAUGACGAGGAGAGUGGGGAGGGCGCAUUAAAUGGUAAACGGAAACCCUAACCCUAAUGGGGGAGGUGGAGAUGGAGAUGGAGAUGGGGAUGGGCGAAGUGGAGUGUUUGGGGUUGGGGGAAGUGGGGAAGAGAGAGAGAGAGAGAGAGAGCGAGAGAGAGAGAGAGAAAGGUUUCUGUUAUAGCAGCUGAGUCGCGAGGAUGAUGAUGACGGGGAGAGAGAGAGACAAAGAGUUUGUGAUAAAUUAUUGCAUGCACCGGGUGUAUGAGUACAAAAGUAUGAUGUGAAAAUAGGAGUUUUGCUAUAAUACUGUCGGGAGUAAACCGCUCAAUUUACUACUGAUUUGUUUUCACUUUUCAGUGAUGGAGCUUCUAAAUUGACGAUCGGUAUCGUUAAAUAUGAUCUAAAUCAUUUAAACUAUAAAAAAAUUAAAUUUCACGCUCUUUCGAUAUCGUUCUCUUGUCCAUCAAAUGAACAAAAAAUAAAUUGCUGAAAAUAAAUAUUCUUCAAAUAAUGAUGAUAUAAUUUUUGUAUUUAAGAUUUACAUUAUAGAUCUUAUUUUAAAUAGUUUUUUUAAAAAAAUUAACAAAAAUUUAGUUAAUUUAGACUCUUCUAUACCAUUAAACGAGUAAACGGAUCAUAUCGGCCAUUAAAAUUACAUAUUUUAUAAUCAUUUGAUUGUUCCAUUAGAUUAAAAAAUUAUAAUUUAAUUUCUAAAUAGUUUAAAUAAUUUAAAUCAUGUUCAACAGUACCAAUCGUUGAUUUAAAAAUUCAUUCAUUGAAAAUAAAUUGGUAGUGAAUUAAGUCGUUUAUUACCGAUAGAAGCCCAGCCAAUAUUGUGAAAAUAGUCCAUUUAUUUGUGUGAACAAUAUUACAUUACACAUAUGAAAAUAAAUUUAUUAAGUGGGUGCUUGAUUUUUCGGAAAAUAUAUUUCGUGGAAAAUAAUGCUUGUUUGAUUCUUAAGAAAAAUAAGUUUUCCGAUAAAAAGCUAUUUCGGUUUUUAUGAAAAAGUGAUACUUUUAUUUUUUAAACAUUUUAACCAUAAAAUAACAAGUGUGAAAAAAAUUAAUAUUUUGAGGAGCUAAGCAGCCCAUAAGAUUUAAUUUCUGCAGUCUCAUCGAAAAGUAGGCAAGCAAAUCUCUAUUUUCUUUCGCUCAAACUCCUUUUUAGUCAAAAUCUUCAAAUGAUUUUAGACAUCAAAUGAUUUAUGAUUUUUAGAAAGUCUACAUAUCAAAAAUCAUAAAAUUUAGAUACUAAUAAAUGCAGAGAAAGAAGGCGAAGUUACUUUGAUAUUUUUCGAACAUGAUGUAUAAGUGUACUCUAUGCAUUGGGCUAACAUUUACAAAUAUAUACUUUAAUUUAAAAUUUAAUUCACUAAAAAUGACCUAUUUUAAGAAUUUAAUGUAAAAAUUAUAUCUAUUUUUAAAAUUGAAUUACUCGACAAAGAACUAUUAUUCAAUUUGUGAAAAACUAGUUUUCAAAAUAAAUAAUUCUUUAUAUGCAAACUUUUAGAUAUCACAGAACACCCAUAAAUAAUCAAAAUUUUUAUUUUAAAGAGUCUUAGAGGCAUGGUGUAUGAAAUUUACUUGUACGCCCGGUACAGGUAACAAAUUCUCAAUAGAGAUAAAGUACUUUUUGGCGAGCACACAGUUACGAGAUUGCGUAGUAGUCGAUGAAAGAUGUAAUAAUAAAGUAAUCGAUCGUUUGUAGUGCAAUUAAUUAAGAUCUUAAUAAUUAAUUAUUAAUAUUCAAAGAUUUCAAAUUAAAAUCUAAAUAUUUUAUAUUUAUAAAUUAAUUAAAUUAAUUAAGAUUAUAUGUAAUGCUAAGAAAAUAACUAAUGAAUAAUCCUUUUGUGCACGCAAACGAAUGAGCAAAGAGUAUAAAGUUUAUUUGUAAACAAGCCAAGUUGUAGAAAAAGAAAUAGAAAUAAAUGUUAUCAUGAACUCAAGCAUAAUUGGAUUGUAAUUUGUCUUUUGAGUUAGGACAAAAGGAAAUAAAAAUUAUUGUGUGCAUUCGACAUAAAUUUAUAUACUAGUAACAAUUAUGUACCGCGAUCACACAUAAAUAUUUAUAUGAAAGUUUGGAAAAUAAUCAAGACGUCGGACGAUAGCAAAUGUCGAUGAUGGUGCAUGAAUAUGCAAUGACUAUAGUGGGAAAUGAAUAAAAGAAAAUGUUUGAUUUUUUCUGUUCGAUUGGUUUAUAGCAGUACUGCAAUUAUUAAAGACUCUCGACAAUUAUCUAUCUUGUACUGAUUUCAUGUAGAUAUACAGUCGUUAAAAAUGAUGAGAAUUCUCUUUUCUUCAAUGAAAUAAUGAAUAAAAAAAGGAUAUUUUUAAAAAAAACUAAAAGGGUCUUCUUGAAAAUAAAGUAUAUAUAAGGGUAUUUAAUAAACAUGAAUUUGAAAGGCAAAAGCGUUUACUGAGAAAAACAAAACCUUAGUUUUGUUGAGACUCGUAUACGACUCAUGUUUCAUUCUACUCUAACACAUUAGUCAGUUUAUAUACAGUUUAAUAUGCACGAACUCUUCUCUUUCUCGUCUUUUUUUUGUAAAUGAAUUCUGCUAUAAAAAGUGAAUGAAUAUCUAUUGAGAUCAGUCAUAUCGUCAAUUUUGUUUACUCAAAAUCUUGCAACGUUCAAUAAUGGCACGAUAUUGCGGGUGAAAACUAAAAGGCAAAAAAAAAAAGCGAAACAAUUUGAUUGCCAAAAUGAAAGAGUGUAGUUGGAACUAAAAAAUUUACAUAAUAGUUUCUAAGAUGAGUUCAACCAUUUUUAAAAUUUUACAAUUUAAAAAUAAUGAUGAUGAUGGACAAAAAAUUUACAGUUGUCGUACUGGGUGCAGCCAAUCGUAUCAUCGGGACCAAGGUGGACCCCACUGUAGAAAGAUCCUAAUUGGCCGAGACCUUCCCUCCAAAGUCCCUCCCUCCUCCCGAGCCCCAACAAAGUACGAGAAGCCAUGCUUGCACCCGGUGUACGAGUCCAUCUCAUACACCCUACUUUCCAAAACCUCUGUUCUACUGUGAGUGUAUUCUAUCUCAUUUAAAAUACCAAAACAUCGUGAACCAUAAACAGCAAACACCAAUUUUUUUUACAAAUCAAAUUAAACCUCAUCUGCGGCCUUUAAUUUUCACAAACUAUUCAAUACCUAUGCAAUUAUUUUCGAAAUGUAUUACUUUUCAUAUAUAUAUAUAUAUAUAGAGAGAGAGAGAGAGAGAGAGAGAGAGAGAGAGAGAGAGAGCUACUAUACUCUAAUGAGUAUGAAUUUCUUUUUAUUUAUAAAUUUUCGGCCAUUAGAUUUAUCUUUUUUUAUCAUUUUCAUCAGUUUGAUCAUAUUAUUCAACCAACCACCUACUCAAUUCUAGAGAACUACUAUCAUUCUAACCGCACAUUCCUUCAUCUAACGACCGAAAACCUAUAAAUAUAAAAAGAUCUAUACUUAUAAAAGUAUAGUAGUCCUAUUUUAUCAUAAGUUUUCGACCGCUGGAUAAAGGAAUGUGUGGUUAGGAUGAUAGUGGUCUUGUAGGGCUGAGCGGGAAAAUGAUUAAAACAAUAGAUUUAAUGGCCGAAAAUUUAUGAGUAUAAAGUAAUCUAUACUCAUAAGAGUAAAGUAGCGGGACUUUAAAAAUAUUUAUUGAAAGAGUGCGGUGUAUAGAGUGGAUGUGAACAUCGGGUGCAUGGUAAUUUCUGAACUGAAGUAGAAAUUGAGGCGCGUACUUCGUGGAUUUUAUUUUUUUUUUACCGUAAUACUCCCGCCGCCUCCUCCCCCCAUAAAAAAUUUUCUACUUUUAAAACCCCAUCUCCUCUCCUUUCCCUCCUCUCCUCUCCCGCCCUUUCCCUCCUCUUCCCCAUUAAAUCCCCCCCAAAUCUCCAAACCCUAACCCUAACCCCGUACCAACCACCUCCUCUCUCUCUCCCUCUCUCUCUCUCUCUCUCUCUCGCGCUUGCUCUCUCGCCAUGAAUCGGCGCCUCCGAAGCCCCAAUCGCAAGCCCUCGUCGCGGAUCGAGGAGCGGCUCCACCGGUUCCUGAGACCAGGAGCCCUAGCUCGGAUCCGCGACUCCAAGAUGAGCGCCCGAUCCCCGCGAUCCAUCCCCGUCCCCCACCUCUCGCCGCCGCCAUCGCCGCCGCCGUCCACUCCGGCGGCGGCGGCCGCCGCCGCCCAGGUUGAUGGCGUCCCUUGCUUCUCCCCGAGGGCCUCCGGCCCCCGGAAUCCUAGGCGGAAGAAGCUUGCGGCUUCGAAAUCCGUCUACUUCGUACCGCCGAGCCCCGAGAUCUCGGAUCUGUUCAUGGAUUCCUUUGGUUCGGAUCUCGUCGCCGCUCAUUGAAAUGGGAGAGAAGGGACUUGAUUAUGUGCAGAUCUUAACUUUUUUUUUUCUUUUCUUCAUUGCCUUUCCUUCAUAUGUGAUGAUUUGGAUGGAUCGGAGGCGGAUAGACUUGUAUGUUUACAAAUUUCAUGCAUGAUGAGAGUAGGAUUUUAGGGGUUUAUUGUCCUUGUUUGUGUUUGUGAGAUGGGGGAAAUAGGCAAAAUGUGAUUUUUGUGUAGACUUGGAAGAUGAUUUGAUGCAUGUUGUUCAAAUGAAACCAACUCAGAUCCACUUCCCUGUACCAAUCAUUUUGGAUUGGGUUUUGGGCCUUAUUUCCUGUUUUUUUUUCUUUAUAUAUUUCAUUAUUUUAAGGUUCAGUUAGCUUGGUUUAUGUGAUUCUCAUAGGGACUGUUAUUAUGUUAUUUUUGUUUUAUGUAUGUUGAUUUAUUUAGCUGUAUUUCUUAGGGAUUGUUCCAAUCGGUGAACUGUGAACAUAAACUGAAUUAGAUUGGUUAUAAAUUAAUUAAGUGCAGUACUUAAUUAAGUACAGUUCCAUAAUAAAUCUUUGUAUGAUUAGUUGCAUUUUCCAGUUUAAUCAUAGAAAUAGUGACCAGCUGCUAAUUAAAUUCAUUGGAGCUGCUUUUGUAAAGUGAAAACAUACAAGUUUGCUUGUUCUUUCAUGGUACAUUUUUGUUCCACUAUUGUUUUUUUUUUGAGAAAUUUUUGUUCCACUAUUGUUGAUUAAAUGAACUGCUAUCUCCAGGCUAUGUUUUGCUGUUAUAAGUUUCUAUGAAUGCACUUGUAUAGGAAUUAUGCUAAAUGUGGGAACUUUUAUAAUAGAUUUGCUUAAGUAGAAGUCCUCAGUGGCCUUUGGUGGUCUUAAUACUCGGCAACAUCUAUCAUAGUAUGGUUUUAGGCAAGGAUUAAAUUCUCUGAAGGUUUGGUAUAGUGUCCUGUUUCUGUUUUCUGAAUUUUGUUUUCUCAUGUAAGUAAUGUGUCGACCAUGCGUCAAGUUUGCUCAAUGUUACGAGUCUUUUAUUGCCUUAACUGGUUUAACUAUAUGAAGGAACACUACCAUAGUGCGUGCUAGCAUACUGAUUUGCAAGCAUUGGCUAAGAGUGUGUUUGUCAUGGUUUCUUUGCUAGUUUCAAAUGGUAAGUUGGUUUACUGGUAGGUCAUAAAUUCAUUUGUUUUAACCUCACGAAUUAUAUUGUAAAUCUUAUGUUGCUUCUGCAAAUUAUUCUCUUAUGAUUGCAUAAGAGCCUUAGGGUAAUGGUAUAUUUUUGGUUUUGGCUUUUAUCUAUUUGUGAACAUUUCAGCUGUAUUACGAUUUGUUGGUCAUAUGUUUUAGUUGAUCUGUUUUCUGUCCGUUCUAUCAUUUGUUAUGCAUGCAUCUCAUUUGGUCGCUUCUUGAUCUGAUAAAACUGAAGUUACCUGGCUUGUGUGGAUUAGAGUUUGAUUUACUGUGAACUUGGUUGGAUUAGUAUUUGACUCGUGGGAAGAUCUCGGUAAAGUCUUGCAUUAGUGGGAUCACGUAUUUGAUUCUUGUGAAAAUUUAAGUAAAUAGAAUUCCAGUUUCCGUCAGAACACCGUUACCCCUUAGAACUUUAAUGUUUGAAACAAGUGAGUUAUUCAUCAUCUGCACUAUCUUGGUAAUAUAGAAUUGAUGUGCCUAUCCCUUUUCCUUUUUCCAUGGUAUACUUCUCCAUAAUGUCUUAUAGUUUUUGGAUGAGGUUUCGUUAGAUGCUUGCUUCAAUAGUCAUUCCAUUGAAUGCAGAGGUCUGCAGAACAGGGAUACUAGUAGAAGGGUGCUUUCAUGAAAUGAAACUUCUGGUUGUUUGUGAUGCUAAUAAUUGGGCAUAACUUUGGCUGUCAAAUUGCCUGUUGAAAACAUCAUGUUGUAGACUAAUAAUAAUAAUAUUGUUGAAACAUAACUUUGGCUGCUCUUUGGUGGGCGAUCUGGUUGCAGAAAACUAAUUUAAUUUUUCGGAAUAUAUAAUAGAGUUCUGCUGUCGAUGCUUCUGGAAAUUCAGUCUUGGAUGAAAGAUUGGGAGGGGGUGUUGCAUAUUUAACCGUCGGAACUUUUUAGUAAACUAGUUAAAAUAAUUAAAAUAAAUCAAAAAAAUUUAAUUUUUUAAGAAACAAGUUUAAUUAAAGACCUAAUUGCAAACAAAAUCCACCUUCACCGUAGCACUUCGUAAUGAUUGAACAUAACAAAAGCAUUCAUUACUUAAUUAGUAAAUAAGGCUAGUGGCCCCUAAAUUUGAGUGGGUGAUUGGUUGGACAAUAUGAUCGGACGGAUGAAAAUGGCCAAAGAGGUAUAUCUAACGGUUAAAAAUUUAUGAGUAUAAAAAGUUCUAUUAUACUCAUAAUAAAAGUAUAGCAUACAUUGCAAUGAUUACUCAAUUAACCAUCAAAUUAAAUCAAUAGGUUUCCAAAUUAGGAAUUCAUUCCUACUAUUCUUAUACUCCUUUCUUCUUACCAUAUACUCAUUUACUUAUUUAUACAUGCAUUACUACGUACGCAGACGCUACGUAGCUAGCGUUUCGCAUCACAGCAACGACGACGAGGACGAAGACAACAAGCAGCACAGAACGGCGAUGAUGGUAGCGUCGGCGGCAGCGGCCGAGAGCAGCAACAACAACAACAACAACAACAACAACAACAAUUGCAGCAGCAGCAGCAGCAAGAAUACAUAUAAUAAUAAGAGAAAGCAGAGCCUGGGGAGGCAGAAGAUCGAGAUAAAGCGGAUCGCGAGCGAGGAGGCGCGGCAGGUGUGCUUCUCGAAGCGGCGGGCGGGGCUGUUCAAGAAGGCAAACGAGCUGUCCGUCCUCUGCGGCGCCGACAUCGCCGUCGUCGUCUUCUCCCCCGCCGGCAAGCCCUUCUCCUUCGGCCACCCCUCCGUCCCCUCCGUCCUCCGCCGCUUCCUCUCCCCCGACAACCCCCACAACCACAACCACAGCCACAGCGCCGCCGACAGCACUCCCGCCGCUGCGGCUGCUGUUGCUGCGGAGCUGAACGCGCGGCAGGCCGAGCUGGCGGCCGCGGUGGAGGGCGGGAGGCGGAGGAGGGCGGCGCUGGAGGAGGCGCUGCGGGCGAGGCGGGCGGGGAUGUGGGACGCCGACGUCGACGCCAUGGCGCUCCCCGAGCUCGAGGCGUUCGCCGCCGCGCUCGAGAGGCUCCGCGCCGAGGCCGCCCUCAGGGCCGACCACCUCCUCAUGCUCGACGCCGCCGCAAAAGGGUUCGGCGCCGAGAGCGGCGGCGACCUCUACUAUGGAGGUAGCACUAGCUACGGCGGCGGCGGCGGGGGAUUAGGGUUAGGGUUUGACUGGAAUAAUAGUAAUAAUAAUGUGAUUGAGGGGAAGGUGCUGAUGCUUCCUCCUCCUCCUCUUCCUCUUCCUCUUCCUCUUCCUCUUCCUCCCCCUCCUCCUUUUCAUCAUCUUCAUGGUCCUACUCAUGAUCUUCAGUUUGAGUACGACGCUGAUCAAUAUGGUUUCUACUAGCUCGUUAGAUUAUUAAUUCAAACCUUUUCUCCUGUGCUCUACGAUGAUGAUAAUAAUAAUAAUAAUAAUAAUAAUAUAUACUCUUAUGCGACAAAAUUCGUGUUAGUAUUUAUUAUUAGGAAUAUUAUUGUCAGGAAUGAGGCUGCAUGGUAGUGGCACGUGUAUGCAUGGUUUGCAAUGUCACAUUAAUUAUUAUUAUUGAAUGACUUUUUAAUUAUUUACGUAAUAAUAUAUAUAUAUAUUUGCAUGGUUGUUUACUUAGUAGCAUGAUGAUCUUAUAUAUCAGCAUGUGGCUGUUCUUUUGGGUUGAUUAUUCUAUAUUUUUCUUUUUUACUUUUUAAAUAUUUCGUCCGUACAUUUAAUUUUUACAUGCCGAAAAAAAAAAUAUACGCGGUUUGAGCUUAAUUAUAACUGUGUUUUGGAAAGAAAAUUUUAAAAAAUGGCUUGUUUAUGUUACGAGGCUAAUAAUAAUAAUACAAAUAAAUGUAAUAGAGUUCUUUCUUAAUAAUAUAUGGCAAUUAUUCUAAUUGAGGGAUAAACUUUUCCUCAAUCAAUUAAUUACACCAUCUAUAUAUUUGGUAAGAGGAUUAAAUUUUCUAAUUUUAACCUAUUUGGUUAAUUGAUUGAAGCUAAAACAUGGAAGUAUAUUCAAUUAAUCUGAUUUUAGAUUUUGCUUAAUUUGUGAAGUUUCAUUUUGGUGCUUCUUAAUGAUACUAUAUAUAUAUAUAUUCAAAGAGUUCAUAAUAAAAGAUUGAGAUUUUUGGAUCCCUAAUUUCACUAAUAAAAAAAAACCACUCCAGAAGCUUCUAAAUUCCAGCAUAGCUUAGCACAAAAAAAUUAAAAACCACAAAUUUUUUUUUUCUUUAUUUAUUUAUUUAUUUUUUUUGUCCCCAUCUUGAGUCGCAUCAACUCAACCUUGGUACCACACAUCCUCCGUGAUUUUUUUUUCUUAACUUAAAAAGUUAGUUUAUUUAAUUUACUAAAAGAUUACAUAAAAU
rnacentral:lncRNA from 1 species